rnacentral:rRNA from 1 species
AGCGAACGCUGGCGGCAGGCUUAACACAUGCAAGUCGAACGGGCAUCUUCGGAUGUCAGUGGCAGACGGGUGAGUAACACGUGGGAACGUACCCUUCGGUUCGGAAUAACUCAGGGAAACUUGAGCUAAUACCGGAUACGCCCUUUUGGGGAAAGGUUUACUGCCGAAGGAUCGGCCCGCGUCUGAUUAGCUUGUUGGUGGGGUAACGGCCUACCAAGGCGACGAUCAGUAGCUGGUCUGAGAGGAUGAUCAGCCACACUGGGACUGAGACACGGCCCAGACUCCUACGGGAGGCAGCAGUGGGGAAUAUUGGACAAUGGGCGCAAGCCUGAUCCAGCCAUGCCGCGUGAGUGAUGAAGGCCUUAGGGUUGUAAAGCUCUUUUGUCCGGGACGAUAAUGACGGUACCGGAAGAAUAAGCCCCGGCUAACCUCGU